UGGGGCUGGGAGUCGGGUCCCAAGGGUUGGGCUGUUCGCCCAUUAAAGCGGUACGCGAGCUGGGUUUAGAACGUCGUGAGACAGUUCGGUCCCUAUCCGCUGUGCGCGUAGGAGUCUUGAGAAGGGCUGUCCCUAGUACGAGAGGACCGGGACGGACGAACCUCUGGUGUGCCAGUUGUUCUGCCAAGGGCAUGGCUGGUUGGCUACGUUCGGGAGGGAUAACCGCUGAAAGCAUCUAAGCGGGAAGCCUGCUUCGAGAUGAGGACUCCCACCCACUUGAUGGGGUAAGGCUCCCAGUAGACGACUGGGUUGAUAGGCCGGAUAUGGAAGCACGGUAACGUGUGGAGUUGACCGGUACUAAUAGGCCGAGGGCUUGUCCUCAGUUG
rnacentral:rRNA from 1 species